rnacentral:lncRNA from 1 species
CUGUCCACCUGGCAUGUCCUCAUUCAGCCUGCCAGGCACCCAGACUCUUCUGGAAUCUCAGGAGAGGGUGGGGCGCCACCUAGCAGAGGUCUCCAGCUGCACAUGCAAGCUGCCACUUCAGCCCGGAGUCAUUCAGGAGCUGACUUUAUUCUACUGCAUUGUCCUGGUUGUCAGAAGAUGGGGAGGGAAGGGGAAACCAGAGAUACCAGGAGAGAUCAACCUAUAUUAGGCAUGUGAGAGGCAGAACAACUGAGUGAUUACGGUGAGAUUGAGCCAGAUGGCCUGGGUUCAGAUCCUGCUCUGCUGCCUGCCAACUGUGCAAGCUUGGACCCCAUCAAGAGUGUGGCUCCAUCUUCCAGAUCUGGAGCAAGCUCCUUGAGGCCAGGAGCUGCGUCCAGCUCACCUCUGUCUCCUAGACUGGGCCCAGUUGAUGAGCUCCAGGAGCUGACACUUUGGGGAAAACUGGAUGAGACAGAGGAACCAUUCAGAAGACAAUGCAGCAAUUGGACAUCAAAGGCCCAGAGAGGGGAAGGGACUCAUCAAGGCCACACAGCACAGCAAGCCUGUGUCAGAGCCCUGGGAUUGGGUCCCCAAGGCAUCAGGAGCCCUAGCGGCUCUGCCCUUAGCUCUGAGACCGUUAUCUCUGGUCCCCGUCUGGACCUCCUCUCUCUGGGCACCAAGAGCCAG